CCCUUAGAUGUUCUGGGCCGCACGCGUGCUACACUGACCGGCGCAACAAGUUUCUUUCCUUGGCUCGAUAGGCCUGGGUAAUCUUUGAACGCCGGUCGUGAUGGGGAUAGAUCCUUGCAAUUUUUGAUCUUCAACGAGGAAUUCCUAGUAAAUGCGAGUCAUCAUCUCGCGUUGAUUACGUCCCUGCCCUUUGUACACACCGCCCGUCACACCUACCGAUUGAAUGGUCCGGUGAAGCCUCGGGAUUGCGAAUGCUUCGUGCGGACGCGAGAACUUGGCUAAACCUUACCAUUUAGAGGAAGGUGAANUCGUANCA
rnacentral:rRNA from 1 species